UUCAUAAGCGAGGCGCUCUCGUCGAAUAGAAAACAAAAUACACGAAAUGCUUAUAAAUAGUUCGCAAGGUCGCGAGAAUUCAACCGGGAGAUCUAGAAACUAGCGGCUAGAGGUUUAGAAAUAAUAACAACAAAGCUGCCUCGGCUACCUUAGAAGGCAUAUAGUGGAUAUAUUGAAGUGCCCCCAGAUUCUGUGCACAGUGGUCAGUCAAUGGGCCUUCUUCAAUCACCCAGUCAGCACCUGUUGGCCAACUUUUCGGCGCCACUGUGGCCAUCGGCCGUCCCAUCUGGCGUAGGUGUGCGAACGCCUUCGUUUAUUCUGCCAUAAUGUAUUUUCGUGUGUAGUAUCAUUCUGCUUUUUUUGUUUGCCAUAUAUUUGUGGACGUUUUAUCUGCUGCCUUGUAAAUUGAAUAGAUGGAUGUGCGUCACUGAACUUUGCGCUGAAGCGCGCCAUCCAUCGAACUUGAAAAUCUUGGCAAUUUCCUAUAUUUUCUAUAAUUAUGGCCCAGGGGAGUGUCUACUUGAAAUUCUGUGCUUGGCUCCUCGAUUUGAGCUUGAAUGUGAUUUUUAUGGAUCGCAGCAGAGGCGAAUAACUAAAAAGUGGCUCACAUUGCGUAUACGCCUCCGCACUCCAGCUCCUGGACUGGCUGCCGUCUGGCCUACUUGGCCCAUCUUGACCCCUGGUGCCCUAACCUGUUUGUGUCGGAGAUCUCCUAAAAAGCCAAUCUGGGACUUCUCAAUGCCGUUCGCAAUGCUGACAUCAUAUCGAGCUAUAUGCAACUAUAUAGAAGCAACUGCUGGCUGCCGUUUCUCCCAAUAUGUCUACGCUCAAUUGGGUCAGGCGAUCGACGAUCUGUGAUCACUGAUCAGAAAUGAAAACAAACAGUAGCAUUAUUUUCUUAUUA